rnacentral:snRNA from 1 species
GGAUGUGAGGGCGAUCUGGCUGCGACAUCUGUCACCCCAUUGAUCGCCAGGGUUGAUUCGGCUGAUCUGGCUGACUAGGUGGGUGUCCCCCUCCUCCCUCACCGAUCCAUGUGCGCACUCGGUCGAAGAGGACGACCUUCCCUCCCCCCCCCCCCCCCCCACCCCAGGAGAGGACCCGUCAAGGGUAUACGAGUAGCUGCGCUCCCCUGCUAGAACCUCCAAACAAGCUCUCAUUUAGCUUAGUUCCAGCAACAUGUUUUUAUGUAUCAUAAUGUGAAAGUCAUUCUUUUGUUAUAU